CCUACGGGAGGCAGCAGUGAGGAAUAUUGGUCAAUGGACGAGAGUCUGAACCAGCCAAGUAGCGUGAAGGAUGACUGCCCUAUGGGUUGUAAACUUCUUUUAUAAAGGAAUAAAACGAGGCACGUGUGCCUGUUUGCAUGUACUUUAUGAAUAAGGAUCGGCUAACUCCGUGCCAGCAGCCGCGGUAAUACGGAGGAUCCGAGCGUUAUCCGGAUUUAUUGGGUUUAAAGGGAGCGUAGAUGGGUUGUUAAGUCAGUUGUGAAAGUUUGCGGCUCAACCGUAAGAUUGCAAUUGAUACUGGCAGUCUUGAGUACAGGAGAGGUAGGCGGAAUUCGUGGUGUAGCGGUGAAAUGCUUAGAUAUCACGAAGAACCCCGAUUGCGAAGGCAGCUUACUAAACUGUGACUGACAUUGAUGCUCGAAAGUGUGGGUAUCAAACAGGAUUAGAUACCCUUGUAGUC
rnacentral:rRNA from 1 species